rnacentral:tRNA from 1 species
UGAUGUAGUGGUUAAAAUGCUUGGCUGCUAACCAAAAGGUUGGUGGUUUGAACCCACC